rnacentral:rRNA from 1 species
GNGGGAAAGGGAUUAGAUACCCCNUUAGUCCNCCCCUAAACGAUGGAUGNUAGAUNUGGGAGUAUCGACCCUCCCAGUGUCGGUUAAACAAGCUAACGCAUUAAGCAUCCCGCCUGGGGAGUACGGCCGCAAGGCUAAAAACUCNAAAGGAAUAGACGGGGACCCGCACAAGCGGAGGAGUAUGUGGUUUAAUUCGACGAUAAGCGAGAAACCUUACCUGGGCUUGAAAGACAGCUGCAAACCACCCGAAAGGGAGGUCGCCUUCGAGGGUGCUGUCUAGGUGCUGCAUGGUUGCCGUCAGCUCGUGUCGUGAGAUGUACCGUUAAGUCGGAUAACGAGCGCAACCCCUAUUUCGUGUUGUAUAUCACGAGAGACCGCCCCGGAUAACGGGGAGGAAGGCGGGGAUGACGUCAAAUCAGCAUGGCUCUUACGUCCAGGGCUACACACGUACUACAAUGGUAAUGACAAAGGGUCGCCAAGCUGCAAAGCGGAGCUAAUCCCAUCAAACAUUACCUCAGUUCGGAUUGAGGGCUGAAAUUUGCCCUCAUGAAGUCGGAUUCGCUAGUAAAUGCGUAUCAUCAUGGCGCAUUGAAUACGUUCUCGGGUCUUGUACUCACCGCCCGUCACACCAAGAGAGUCGGAAAUACCCGAAGGCCCCGUUGAGGGGACUAAGGUAGAGUCGAUGAUAAGGGUGAAGUCGUAACAANGUAACCAAGCGGGAAUUCUGCAGAUAUUCCUUCCNCACCUGGCNGGAGCUCGAUGCAUGCAUUNUAGAGGCCCAUCG